GCAAGUCCAACAAAGGAGAGGAAUGUUAUUUUAUGGAGAAGAAGGAGGAAGUUGGGAGGGUUUGUUUUAACAAAAGUCCAUUAGAGAAAAACAAACUUUCAGGUGAUACUGGUUUCUCAUUGACUGAGUUGCAGACGGUCCUGAUUUUUUACAUGAGCUCCAAUAUACAUCUUCCUCUUAGGACUUGUGAUUGAUGGAUGAUUCCUUUCUGUGGAAGAUUCUUCUGCCGGGGUCUGUGCUGGCCUCUUCUGUUGGAGUCGGUAACUGACAUUGAAUGAACUAACUUUUUGAACUGAUUGGGGAGUGACUAAAACCUGCAACAUGGAAAGAGUUGGGAAUUCGUAUGAGAAAAGAUUAUCUGAACUUCAGCAAUGACAAAGGGAACAGAUAUAAGAUAUCAGAACACAUAGUGGCCAACUAAAUGAAAGAGCAAAUGAUGAGACAAAGAAGUUUCAGCUAUUCAUGGAUCGUGCGGUUAUUUUCAACGGUAUCCUUCCACAUAACUUUUUUCCUGGGAAAUGGACAGUUACCUAGAACUUUCUCUCCCCGCUGAUAGAAACAAACGUCCCUUCCCCAAGAUGAUGUGGAUUGAGGAGAGCAGAACUCAAGGCUAGAUAUCUUCAUACAAGUCUGAGGAUGUGAAGGAGAACAGAUUGACUAAUGAGAUCAAGGUGGAGUGUUCCCUGUACUAGGAAAAGAGAAACAUCUUCAAUGGGGAAUUGAAGCCAAAGAAUUUGGUACAGACCACAUUAAGAUAAUUCUUGAUCUGCCUUUAGCUUCUCUGCCUAGUUUAGCUACCUUUUCGUAAUUGCCUCUCUUUGUUCAACCUGGUAUAAGAACAUUUAGGUUUUGCCAAUUCUCAGAAUCUUCAUUUCAUUAUGAGGGAUCCCAUGUUACAUAAAUCUUCCAUUAAAUACAUUUGUAUCCUUUUCUCCUGUUAAUCUGUUUUAUGCCUGUUUAAUUCCCAAGCCCCACUGAAAAAGGGUAAGAGGGUGAAGAUAAAAUUUUGCCUCCCCUAUGGUAUCAACCUCUACUGUUUCUACCCUCUACAUCAUUCCUCUUUGUCCCUAAUCCUAUUCUUUGUUUUGGAAUAUUAUGAAACCUUCUUAAAUAAUCUUUGUUCAUUUGACUGAAAGAAUCUUUAAAGAUUCAUUUUCUUGCUCCUAAAUCUUGAACAACUCCUUCCUGCCUAUUAGAUAAUAUCCACCAUGCCUGGUUUAGUAAUGAGGGCAACAGUUUGUCUUCAACUAUUUUGUACAUGAUUUUCUUUCUUGACACCCUUCUAUGUUAUGUACCCAAUUUUGCAACCAAGAUACAGAACCAGCCCAUCCUCAAAAUGCUUUCAUGGUAGGGCUCCAAAAAAAAAAACAAACAAAAAACAAAAAACAAAACAACAACAAAACAAAACAAAAAAUCUCCGCAGCUGGGAAUCUUCUUUUUGCUCCUCUCCACUUAUAUUUCUAAAUAGUUCCCCUAACUAAAACGACAUUAUUUUAUUUUCCUUUCAUUUGCUCAGUACUUUAUUCAUGUGUUUGCUUCACACUUAAGAACUACUCGUAAAAGUCAUGCAGUUAAAUUUAACAAGAAGGAGUUACUAUCAGAGUAAGAGAAUUUCCACUUCUUACUUGAAGAGAAACCAAAUGGAGAGGCGUGCCGCAUUCCCCCAUGAAGUAGGCUCGCCAUCUAGCGACAGCUCCUCCACACUACAAACCUUGCCUGGAGACCUGAGACUCUGAAGACUUCACCUUCCAGUUUUCCUCAAGGAAUAUGAUAAACAGACGCUUUUUCCUCCGAUAUAGCACAGAACCACAAGAAAAAGACUGCAUAAUGCUUACAUUUUUAUGUUGUUAAACGCUGAAAACCAAUUAAGUUUGGGUCGAUUCUACAGAUAAGUUCAAAGAAACAGAAAGACGUGAAAUGUUUGUGUUAACCUUAAUCAGUGAUGCGGAUAGAUCCACUCUGAAAGACGAGGAGUUUAAAGGAAUGCUUGUAAGCUUGGAUAAAUCUCUGAUAAAGUGUAAGAAAUUUCUCUUCUCCUGAGAUAACGCGUAUAACAUACCCAGCAGAGUACGCUCUGAAUAAACUUUAGCAAAAUGGCUCAAAGGAGGCAUAAGCUUCGGAACCAGAGGAUUUGUUGUCCCCACCUCCAUAAAUUGGAGCACAACACUCAAGCACUCAAAAUGACCAUUUUGACAUGUGGAAACAUGGGGACAGCCAUAUCUUUUCUGUGAAUAUUAAACAUAGCAUAUACAAAAUGCUUAGUCUCUAACAGGUACCCUAUUUUAAAAAUGGCG